UACGGGAGGCAGCAGUGAGGAAUAUUGGUCAAUGGGCGUUAGCCUGAACCAGCCAAGUAGCGUGAAGGAUGACUGCCCUAUGGGUUGUAAACUUCUUUUAUAAGGGAAUAAAACGGGGAACGUGUUCCCCCUUGCAUGUACCUUACGAAUAAGGAUCGGCUAACUCCGUGCCAGCAGCCGCGGUAAUACGGAGGGUCCGAGCGUUAUCCGGAUUUAUUGGGUUUAAAGGGUGCGUAGGCGGAAUGAUCAGUCAGUUGUGAAAGUUUGAGGCUCAACCUUAAAAUUGCAGUUGAUACUGUCAUUCUUGAGUGUACAAGAGGUGGGCGGAAUUCGUGGUGUAGCGGUGAAAUGCUUAGAUAUCACGAAGAACUCCGAUUGCGAAGGCAGCUCACUGGGGUACAACUGACGCUGAGGCACGAAAGUGUGGGUAUCAAACAGGAUUAGAUACCCUGGUAGUCCACACAGUAAACGAUGAAUACUCGCUGUUUGCGAUAUACAGUAAGCGGCUAAGCGAAAGCGUUAAGUAUUCCACCUGGGGAGUACGCCGGCAACGGUGAAACUCAAAGGAAUUGACGG
rnacentral:rRNA from 1 species